CAACUAUAGUAAUGGCAAGUAUGUUGUUGCCCAAACUUUUUAAAGCGAAAAAGCGCACUAAAGCGACAAGGUUGGGCUUUGCUUUAAAGCGCAAAGCGAAACAUCACUUUUUCAUGCAAAGCGACGCUUUAAAUAUAUAUAU